UACGUAGGGGGCAAGCGUUGUCCGGAAUGAUUGGGCGUAAAGCGUCUGUAGGUGGCUUUUUAAGUCCGCCGUCAAAUCCCAGGGCUCAACUCUGGACAGGCGGUGGAAACUACCAAGCUGGAGUACGGUAGGGGGCAGAGGGAAUUUCCGGUGGAGCGGUGAAAUGCGCAGAGAUCGGAAAGAACACCAACGGCGAAAGCACUCUGCUGGGCCGACACUGACACUGAGAGACGAAAAGCUAGGGGAGCGAAUGGG
rnacentral:rRNA from 1 species